CCUACGGGUGGCAGCAGUGGGGAAUAUUGCACACUGGGGGAAACCCUGAUGCAGCGACGCCGCGUGAGCGCAGAAGUCUUUCGGUAUGUCACGCUCUAUCAGCAGGGCAGAAAAUGACGGUACCUGAGUAAGAAGCUACGGCUAAAUCCGUGCCCGCAGCCGCGGUAAUACGUAUGGAGCAAGCGUUCUCCGGAUUUACUGGGCGUCACGGGAGCGUAGGCGGCCUGCCAAGUCUGAUGUGAAAUACCGGGGCUCAACCCCGGGGCUGCAUUGGAAACUGGCGAGCUGGAGUGACGGAGAGGCAGGCGGAAUGCCUAGUGUAGCGGUGAAAUGCGUAGAUAUUAGGAGGAACACCAGUGGCGAAGGCGGCCUGCUGGACGGUGACUGACGCUGAGGCUCGAAAGCGUGGGGAGCAAACAGGAUUAGAUACCCCAGUAGUC
rnacentral:rRNA from 1 species